rnacentral:rRNA from 1 species
GUCAUGGGGCGAGAGCCUGAACCAGCUCAGUAGCGUGAAGGAUGACUGCCCUAUGGGUUGUAAACUUCUUUUAUAAAGGAAUAAAGUCGGGUAUGCAUACCCGUUUGCAUGUACUUUAUGAAUAAGGAUCGGCUAACUCCGUGCCAGCAGCCGCGGUAAUACGGAGGAUCCGAGCGUUAUCCGGAUUUAUUGGGUUUAAAGGGAGCGUAGAUGGAUGUUUAAGUCAGUUGUGAAAGUUUGCGGCUCAACCGUAAAAUUGCAGUUGAUACUGGAUAUCUUGAGUGCAGUUGAGGCAGGCGGAAUUCGUGGUGUAGCGGUGAAAUGCUUAGAUAUCACGAAGAACUCCGAUUGCGAAGGCAGCCUGCUAAGCUGCAACUGACAUUGAGGCUCGAAAGUGUGGGUAUCAAACAGGAUUAGAUACCCUGGUAGUCCACACGGUAAACGAUGAAUACUCGCUGUUUGCGAUAUACUGCAAGCGGCCAAGCGAAAGCGUUAAGUAUUCCACCUGGGGAGUACGCCGGCAACGGUGAAACUCAAAGGAAUUGACGGGGGCCCGCACAAGCGGAGGAACAUGUGGUUUAAUUCGAUGAUACGCGAGGAACCUUACCCGGGCUUAAAUUGCAGAUGAAUUACGGUGAAAGCCGUAAGCCGCAAGGUAUCUGUGAAGGUGCUGCAUGGUUGUCGUCAGCUCGUGCCGUGAGGUGUCGGCUUAAGUGCCAUAACGAGCGCAACCCUUGUUGUCAGUUACUAACAGGAUUUGCUGAGGACUCUGACAAGACUGCCAUCGUAAGAUGUGAGGAAGGUGGGGAUGACGUCAAAUCAGCACGGCCCUUACGUCCGGGGCUACACACGUGUUACAAUGGGGGGUACAGAGGGCCGCUACCACGCGAGUGGAUGCCAAUCCCAAAAACCUCUCUCAGUUCGGACUGGAGUCUGCAACCCGACUCCACGAAGCUGGAUUCGCUAGUAAUCGCGCAUCAGCCACGGCGCGGUGAAUACGUUCCCGGGCCUUGCACUCACCGCCCGUA